rnacentral:tRNA from 1 species
CGGGGCGUAGUGAAGUCAGGUCAUCACGCCAGUUUUGGGAACUGGAAACCCUCGGUUCAAAUCCGAGCGCCCCGA